rnacentral:rRNA from 1 species
AACAGGUGGAGCCUGCGGUUUAAUCGGACUCAACGCCGGGAAACUCACCAGAUAAGACAGCUGAAUGAUAGUCGGGCUGAAGACUCUACUUGACUAGCUGAGAGGAGGUGCAUGGCCGUCGUCAGUUCGUACUGUGAAGCAUCCUGUUAAGUCAGGCAACGAGCGAGACCCACGCCAACAGUUGCCAGCUCGUCCUCCGGGAUGGUGGGGACACUGUUGGGACCGCCUCUGCUAAAGAGAGGAAGGAAUGGGCAACGGUAGGUCAGCAUGCCCCGAAUUAUCUGGGCUACACGCGGGCUACAAUGGGUGGGACAAUGGGUAUCGACACCGAAAGGUGAAGGCAAUCUCCUAAACCCAUCCGUAGUUCGGAUUGUGGGCUGCAACUCGCCCACAUGAAGCUGGAAUCUGUAGUAAUCGUGUCUCAAAAUGGCACGGUGAAUAUGUCCCUGCUCCUU